AUUGAACGCUGGCGGCAGGCCUAACACAUGCAAGUCGAGCGAGCGGCGGACGGGUGAGUAAUGUAUGGGGACUGCCCGAUAGAGGGGGAUAACUACUGGAAACGGUAGCUAAUACCGCAUACUAUCGGAUAACCCAUAUGGGAUUAGCUAGUAGGUGAGGUAAUGGCUCACCUAGGCGACGAUCCCUAGCUGGUCUGAGAGGAUGAUCAGCCAAACUGGGACGGAGAACCGGCCCGGACUCCUACGGAGGCAGCAGUGGGGAAUAUUGCAAAAGGGGCGCAAGCCUGACGCAGCAAGGCCGCUUGUAUGAAGAAGGCCUUAGGGUGGUAAAGUACUUUCAGUCGGGAGGCGUUACCGACCGAAGAAGCACCGGCUAACUCCGUGCCAGCCGCCGCGGUAAUAC
rnacentral:rRNA from 1 species